rnacentral:misc_RNA from 1 species
GGGGGGAUCGAUACCCUUCUUCUCCACCA